rnacentral:rRNA from 1 species
AUUCCAGCUCCAAUAGCGUAUAUUUUAGUUGUUGCAGUUAAAAAGCUCGUAGUUGAAUUUCUGGUGGGAAGAUGCGGACGGCCUCAUGGCUUGUUCCAAGUCUUCCGGCCAUCCUUGGGUGGAGCUCGUCUGGCAUUAAGUUGUCGGGCGGGGGAUGCCCAUCGUUUACUGUGAAAAAAUUAAAGUGUUCAAAGCAGGCUUAUGUCGUUGAAUAUAUUAGCAUGGAAUAAUAAGAUAGGACAGCAGUGCUAUUUUGUUGGUUUGCGCACCGUUGUAAUGAUGAAUAGGGACAGUUGUGGGUAUUUAUAUUCACUUGUAAGAGGUGAAAUUCUUAGAUUAAGGGAAGAUAAACUACUGCGAAAGCAUUUACCAAGGGUGUUUUCAUUA